rnacentral:rRNA from 1 species
GACAGAGGGGGCAAGCGUUGCUCGGAAUCACUGGGCGUAAAGGGCGCGUAGGCGGGAUGGCAAGUCGGUCGUGAAAUCCUUCGGCUCAACCGAAGAACGUCGGCCGAUACUGCCGUUCUUGAGGGAUGCAGAGGAGAUUGGAAUUCCCGGUGUAGCGGUGAAAUGUGUAGAGAUCGGGAGGAACACCGGUGGCGAAGGCGGAUCUCUGGGCCAUUACUGACGCUGAGGCGCGAAAGCUAGGGGAGCGAACAGG